UACGAAGGGGGCGAGCGUUGUUCGGAUUUACUGGGCGUAAAGGGCGCGCAGGCGGCUAUUUUUGUCAGGCGUGAAAGCCCCGGGCUUAACCUGGGAACUGCGCUUGAGGCGGGAUGGCUAGAGAUCGGGAGAGGAGAGUGGAAUUCCCAGUGUAGAGGUGAAAUUCGUAGAUAGUUGGGAAGAACACCGGUGGCGAAGGCGGCUCUCUGGACCGAUACGUGACGCUGAGGUGCGAAAGCGUGGGAGCAACAGG
rnacentral:rRNA from 1 species